GAUGAACGCUGGCGGCGUGCCUAAUACAUGCAAGUCGAGCGAACAGACGAGGAGCUUGCUCCUUUGACGUUAGCGGCGGACGGGUGAGUAACACGUGGGUAACCUACCUAUAAGACUGGGAUAACUUCGGGAAACCGGAGCUAAUACCGGAUAAUAUUUCGAACCGCAUGGUUCGAUAGUGAAAGAUGGCUUUGCUAUCACUUAUAGAUGGACCUGCGCCGUAUUAGCUAGUUGGUAAGGUAACGGCUUACCAAGGCAACGAUACGUAGCCGACCUGAGAGGGUGAUCGGCCACACUGGAACUGAGACACGGUCCAGACUCCUACGGGAGGCAGCAGUAGGGAAUCUUCCGCAAUGGGCGAAAGCCUGACGGAGCAACGCCGCGUGAGUGAUGAAGGUCUUCGGAUCGUAAAACUCUGUUAUUAGGGAAGAACAAACGUGUAAGUAACUGUGCACGUCUUGACGGUACCUAAUCAGAAAGCCACGGCUAACCACGUG
rnacentral:rRNA from 1 species